UGAAUACGAGACGCUAAGGCGUCGAAGUAGUGUAUGUCAUACUUCCAAGAAAAGCUUGCACUGUCAUAGAUAAAAAACGCCUGUACCAUAACCGACACAGGUGGGUAGGUAGAGUAUACUAAGGGGCGCGAGAUAACUCUCUCUAAGGAACUCGGCAAAAUAACUCCGUAACUUCGGGAGAAGGAGUGCCUUAUUCUUAAGGUUGCAAUAACAAGAUCCAAGCAACUGUUUAUCAAAAACACAGGUCUCCGCUAAGUCGUAAGACGAUGUAUGGGGGCUGACGCCUGCCCAGUGCCAGAAGGUUAAAGAAGCUGGUUAGCAUUUGCGAAGCUAGUAACUGAAGCCCUGGUGAACGGCGGCCGUAACAAUAACGGUCCUAAGGUAGCGAAAUUCCUUGUCGGGUAAGUUCCGACCCGCACGAAAGGCGUAAUGAUUUGGAUACUGUCUCGGAGAGGGGCUCGGUGAAAUAGACUUGUCUGUGAAGAUGCGGACUACCUGCACCAGGACAGAAAGACCCUAUGAAGCUUUACUGUAACUUGAAAUUGAAAUUGGACUUUAUUCGCGCAGUAUAGGUGGGAGGCGUUGAUUAUAAUCUUGCGGGAUUAUUGGAGCCAUUAGUGAGAUACCACUCUUGUAAUGUUAGAUUUCUAACUUUGAAUCAUUAUCUGGUCAAAGAACAGCUUCAGGCGGGCAGUUUGACUGGGGCGGUCGCCUCCCAAACGGUAACGGAGGCGUACAAAGGUUUCCUCUGAACGGUUAGAAAUCGUAUCUAGAGUGUAAAGGCAUAAGGAAGCUUGACUGUGAGACCUACAAGUCGAGCAGGGACGAAAGUCGGUCUUAGUGAUCUGACGGUACUGAGUGGAAAGGCCGUCACUCAACGGAUAAAAGUUACUCUAGGAUAACAGGCUGAUCUCCCCCAAGAGUUUCACAUCGACGGGGAGGUUUGGCACCUCGAUGUCGGCUCAUCGCAUCCUGGGGCGGUAGUACGUCCCAAGGGUUGGGCUGUUCGCCCAUGAAAGCGGUACGCGAGCUGGGUUCAGAACGUCGUGAGACAGUUCGGUCCAUAUCCGGUGUAGGCGUUAGAAUAUUGAGAGGAGCCUUCUUUAGUACGAGAGGACCGAGAAGGACAUACCUCUGGUGUACCAGUUAUCGUGCCAACGGUAGACGCUGGGUAGCUAUGUAUGGAGUGGAUAACCGCUGAAAGCAUCUAAGUGGGAAGCCCACCUCAAGAUAAGUAUUCUCA
rnacentral:rRNA from 1 species